AAAUUUAUAGGCCUAUCUUUCAAGCAAGGAAUUUUUUUUUACACUACCUGGGUAGAUUUUUUUCCUAACUUUUUUCUGGGAAUAAUUUUUUUUUGGUUUUGCCCCCUCACUUUUCUAAUGGUCCGUCCCUAAAUGAUAUAUAUUCGGUGUAGAGUUUUUUUCAUUAGCCUUAUUCAAAUAUUUGUCAGAAAUGUUAGCAUAGGCGUACCGGGCGGCGGGGUGGGGGGGGGCGGUAGCCCCCCCAGUUUUUUGGGCAGUCGGGCAAUAUUCGAUGAACAGUCGGGCAAUUUUGGUGUAUAAUAAAAAUAAAAGGGACAAAUUCU